CCCCGACUCACGAAAGGGGUGUAUUUAUUAGAUAAAAAAAAUCAACAUUAGUGAUGAUUCAUAAUAACUUGUCGAACCGCAUGGCUUCAUGCCGGCGGUGGUUCAUUCAAAUUUCUGCCCCUAUCAACUUUCGAUGGUAGGAUAGUGGCCUACCAUGGUUUCAACGGGUAACGGGGAAUAAGGGUUCGAUUCCGGAGAGGGAGCCUGAGAAACGGCUACCACAUCCAAGGAAGGCAGCAGGCGCGCAAAUUACCCAAUCCCGACACGGGGAGGUAGUGACAAUAAAUAACGAUGCGGGGCCUUUUUGGUCUCGCAAUUGGAAUGAGUACAAUGUAAAUACCUUAACGAGGAACAAUUGGAGGGCAAGUCUGGUGCCAGCAGCCGCGGUAAUUCCAGCUCCAAAAGCGUAUAUUAAAGUUGUUGCAGUUAAAAAGCUCGUAGUUGAACUUUGGGUGUGUGCCGCCGGUCCACUUCGGUGCGUACUGACCGGCACGCACCUUUCCUUCUGGUUUUCGGACCAGGACGUUUACUUUGAAAAAAUUAGAGUGUUCAAAGCAGGCAUAUUGCUCGAAUAUAUUAGCAUGGAAUAAGGGAAUAGGACAAUGGUUCUAUUUCGUUGGUUUUCAGUACCAUUGUAAUGAUUAAUAGGGACGGACGGGGGCAUCAGUAUUCCGUAGUCAGAGGUGAAAUUCUUGGAUUUACGGAAGACUAACUACUGCGAAAGCAUUUGCCAAGCACGUUUUCAUUAAUCAAGAACGAAAGUUAGGGGAUCGAAGAUGAUCAGAUACCGUCGUAGUCUUAACCAUAAACUAUGCCGACUAGGGAUCGGGCGUGCUUCAAUUUGACGCGCUCGGCACCUUACGAGAAAUCAAA
rnacentral:rRNA from 1 species